UUCUGCUAGAUGUGAAUAAGACAGUGAGUAAUCCUGGUUGCUACAACCAGCCUCCUUGUUACCACAAGGAAAACCGACUUACAGAUGACGCUGAUGCUAUGGGUCAUGGAGCAGAGGUGAAAAGAACCUUUUUUCUUGAUAACAUCAUUUAGCUGCUGAAUCAACCAACCCUGAAGACCACCCUACAUCUGAAUCUCCUUUAAUGAGGAUGCUGUGACCCCUCAAUGGAUAUGCUAAUCAUCACAUCAGAAGCACAACUAGCUUCAAAUGGAAACCAGAUUGCACUUGGUCACUGACGAAGCAGGAGAUUAAACAAGCUACACUGUGUCUCUGGGAGAACAAAAAGCCAAAAGGCACAUUUAUCACCUCUGAAUCACAACACUGAGGAGACGAAGACAAGCCAAGAUCAUCCUAUGCCUGGAAGAGAUCUCAGUUGUAUGGAAAUAAUCAGCCAAUAUGACCA